rnacentral:lncRNA from 1 species
UGUGUCAGACCGUUUACUAAACACCAGGACUGUUGUAGGCGACUGUAAGAAAUAAGAAUAUUGCAUGGUUACAAUUCUUGAAUGCUUACCUUGUGUCUUGUUCCUUACUCUACAGAAAUUUUCUAAUCCCGUGGCGAACCCCCGUACUUCAACGUAUGACAUUCUGUAAAUCUACAAAACAGAUGGGUCCCUGCCUUUGAGAAGUUUUUACAAUUUAGUGGGUACUGGACACGGACCUAAUUUAAUUCUCACAUGCCUUCCCUUUCUAAUAAGCUGCAUGUUAUGUAUCCCUAUUCUACAGAUGUGGGGAAUCCGAAAUUUUUAGCUUUUACUGGGACACACAGCUAGCAAGCAACUAAAGCGAGAAUUCCAACCUGAGCUCCAAUCCGAACUAUUUUCAUAAAAGGCAGGAUCCCAGGCUGAGGGAGUUCGAGGUUUGGGAGACAGUUUAGCAGUCGCUGAGUCCAAACAUGUUGUUUUCCUAGAAAAGAAAACUGAGAUCCAGGAAAGGGAAGUGAUUUUCCAAAGACACACCUGUGAAAGGUGAGGAGAACAGCCCAGUGAGGCUGAGGCCACACAAUUAACCCCAGUCUUUGCACUACAACUCUACCAGGGAUCCUGGUUUGGCUCAUUUUCUUUCUUCUGCACCAUGAUUGUUCACCUUUUCAUUACCAGCAACAUACCCAAAGACCUAGCUAUAGACUCGUUGGAAUCUGUUACUUAGCAGCUGUGUGAAUCAAGUGUUCAAUAGGAAUAAUAAGAUGUAUUCAUCUUACCUUUUCAGAACAUUAUGAAGAACAAAUGUGGUAAGACAUAUGAAAAUGCUUUGUAAAGUGUUAGAUGCUUAAUACACAGAAGACAUUGCUUCCAGAUCUGUUUCAACGUACCCCAAGAAUGGAAUAAGUGGAAUAUGCUGGUUUCAUGCACUGUGGCAAGGGGGUCUCAUCUUGGCUAGACUUGAAUAAGUGGAUUUGUUGCCUGGCCUCUGUGGAUGGCUCUUUCUCUGGGCUUUUGUGUAUUUGAUUUUUUAUUUGCUCCAGCAGCCGUGUUGAACCAUGAAAGGACCUCAGGAAUGAAACCCACACACAGCAAAGCAACAAAGUGAAAGAAGCGUGGAUUCCUAAUGCAGGAGGCACUGAACCAAUCAAUACCCACUGCCCUCCAGACCUCCACAUGAAAGAAAAAAACUGCUGUCCUGUGAAGAAGACACUCCCCAGAUGCCAGCAACUUGAUAUUGGACUUCCUGCCUUUAGAAACGUGAGAAAUAAAUUUUUUUUCUUUAUAAGUUA